UGGAGCCGACCUUGAAAUACCACCCUUGUAUGUUUGAUGUUCUAACGAAGGCUGCUGAAUCGCGGCUUCGGACAGUGUCUGGUGGGUAGUUUGACUGGGGCGGUCUCCUCCUAAAGAGUAACGGAGGAGCACGAAGGUUGGCUAAGUACGGUCGGACAUCGUACGGUUAGUGUAAUGGUAGAAGCCAGCUUAACUGCGAGACAGACACGUCGAGCAGGUACGAAAGUAGGUCAUAGUGAUCCGGUGGUUCUGAAUGGAAGGGCCAUCGCUCAACGGAUAAAAGGUACUCCGGGGAUAACAGGCUGAUACCGCCCAAGAGUUCAUAUCGACGGCGGUGUUUGGCACCUCGAUGUCGGCUCAUCACAUCCUGGGGCUGAAGUCGGUCCCAAGGGUAUGGCUGUUCGCCAUUUAAAGUGGUACGCGAGCUGGGUUUAGAACGUCGUGAGACAGUUCGGUCCCUAUCUGCCGUGGGCGUUGGAUAAUUGAGUGGAGUUGCUCCUAGUACGAGAGGACCGGAGUGAACGAACCGCUGGUGUUCGGGUUGUCAUGCCAAUGGCACUGCCCGGUAGCUAUGUUCGGAACGGAUAACCGCUGAAAGCAUCUAAGCGGGAAGCCGGCCACAAGAUGAGUUAUCCCUCAGACUAUAAGUCUGCAUAAGGGUCGUUGGAGACCACAACGUUGAUAGGCAGGGUGUGGAAGCGUGGCGACACGUUAAGCUAACCUGUACUAAUUGCCCGAGAGGCUUAACCAU
rnacentral:rRNA from 1 species